CGAUUAAUGGUGAAGCCGCGAAUGGCUCAUUACAACAGCCAUAGUUUCUUAGAUCUUACUUUUCUACUUGGAUAACUGUGGUAAUUCUAGAGCUAAUACACGCAAACAAGCUCAGACCUUACGGAAUGAGCGCAUUUAUUAGAACAAAAACCAAUCGGACUUUCGGGUCCGUCAUUUGGUGAAUCUGAAUAACUUUGCUGAUCGCACGGUCAUCGUACCGGCGACAUAUCUUUCAAAUGUCUGCCUUAUCAACUUUCGAUGGUAGUUUAUGCGCCUACCAUGGUUGUAACGGGUAACGGAGAAUAAGGGUUCGACUCCGGAGAGGGAGCCUGAGAAACGGCUACCACAUCCAAGGAAGGCAGCAGGCACGCAAAUUACCCACUCCCGGCACGGGGAGGUAGUGACGAAAAAUAACGAGACGGCUCGCUAUGCGGUCCGUCAUCGGAAUGGGUACAAUUUAAAUCCUUUAACGAGGAUCUAUU
rnacentral:rRNA from 1 species